rnacentral:rRNA from 1 species
GAUGAACGCUGGCGGCGUGCCUAAUACAUGCAAGUCGAGCGAACAGACGAGGAGCUUGCUCCUCUGACGUUAGCGGCGGACGGGUGAGUAACACGUGGAUAACCUACCUAUAAGACUGGGAUAACUUCGGGAAACCGGAGCUAAUACCGGAUAAUAUAUUGAACAGCAUGGUUCAAUAGUGAAAGACGGUUUUGCUGUCACUUAUAGAUGGAUCCGCGCCGCAUUAGCUAGUUGGUAAGGUAACGGCUUACCAAGGCAACGAUGCGUAGCCGACCUGAGAGGGUGAUCGGCCACACUGGAACUGAGACACGGUCCAGACUCCUACGGGAGGCAGCAGUAGGGAAUCUUCCGCAAUGGGCGAAAGCCUGACGGAGCAACGCCGCGUGAGUGAUGAAGGUCUUCGGAUCGUAAAACUCUGUUAUUAGGGAAGAACAAAUGUGUAAGUAACUAUGCACGUCUUGACGGUACCUAAGCAGAAAGCCACGGCUAACUACGUG